UAAUUCCACAUCCAAUGACUG
rnacentral:miRNA from 1 species